rnacentral:lncRNA from 10 species
CCGGGGCUUCCCUCCCUUCAAUACAUAACGAGGCUGAGCCACAGUUCUGACCUGGCCACCUCAGACGCUGUCAUUACUCCCAGUCUGUCAGGAAGGGUUGGUCACCACCGCCCACACUCCCAUUUCUGGUGGCUCUAGUGGUAUUUUUGGUUUCUCUGAGUCAUCUUUGCUACCUGAGAUGACAUGCCCACAAUUCCGAUCUUAGGCAGUGUCGGAGUCCUUGCUGGGUAAAGGAGGCCAACCCCCCGUGGGUACUCACGGCAGGAAGCAGGGACUGCAUGUUCUGGUUGGAGUCUGCGAUCGUGGCCAGGUAUACCAGGUUCCGGUGCAGGAUCUGCUGGUACCUGCAGGAGAGGGGGCACGCAUGAGGCAGGACGACGGGACCACAGAGUCCCCACGUGGAUCCAAGGCAGAAGUAAAGUGUGAACAAGACAGCCUGACAUCCAGCCAAACCCCAUGAGGACAUGGACCCCAGAUGACACCCAGCUGGACACAGGUUCAGGGGUAAACCCGCGCCAGAGACGCCACCGGGAAAGCACUGAAGCUGGUGGCCUGAGGCCUCCCGAGGAGGAACCCCUGGCUCCUCUUCCCCAGAGGCCAGCUCUGCCGAUUCUGGAAGCGUCUGGCAUGGAGCCUGUGCACUCCCCUCCCGACUCUGCACACACCUGAUAACGUUUCGCUCCCGCUGCUCCACACAGCUCCCUUUCCUCUCAAACAUCUUGGAGACUGUCCUCUGUCAGCACAUAGAGACCUCACCUGUCCCUUGAGCCCAGGAGGACAAGGCUGCACGAGCUGUGAUCACGUUACUGCACCUCAGCCUGGGCGAAAGAGCAAGACUCUGUCUCCAAAAAAAAAAAAAAAAAAAAAAAAAAAAAAAAAAAAAUCCACCUCAAUGUUUCUUAUGCUCCGGAGAAUUCCACAACAUGGACACAACGUAGUACUCUGUCUGCUUGGACAGACAUUGAAAUUGUUCCCCGUCUUCUGCCACUACAUGCAGGGCUGCCAUGCACUCCCCACGCAUGGCGUGGACACAGACGCAGAAUCAAUUCCUAGGAGUCAUCAAGGUGUGAGGGGGACCAGCCUGGCUAACCGGAGAGCUGGUCGAGCAUCAGCAGGUGGCUAAGCCAGCGAUGGCACCUGCGCUAGCGCCUGCCACUCCUGUUCUCGGGGCAGACAUCGCUGACCCAUCAGCAGUCCUUCCCUCUGAGCCCAGCCUGAGCUGCUCCGUCCCUGCCCCCGAGGUCAGCAAGCCGAUACUACAGACUCCACUGAUGGAAGCCAGUGGGACCCCUCUGAACAUUCACCCAACUGUGGAAUCCGUGAAGUCGGUGUGUAGGUUUCAGAAGAGCGUCUCAAUUUACACAUGUGCAGUCUCCUUGAGAGGAGCUGGCUGCUGCCUCACGGCCCCACCGCUGUAUGCUUGACGUGUGUGUGCAAUUUCAAAGACUCUAAGAACAUGUGAAGACACGCUGAACAGACACAAGAGCAGCCGCCUCUGCAUGUGCCUUGGCAAUCACUUCCAGUCUCAUGGCGCUUUGGGCUGUCACAGCACAGCACAACACAACAAAAUCACUGUGCUCCUGACAGUUUCCAAGCUGGAGACGUGCUUAUUGUACUAGCAACACGCGACGUCUGUAUGCAUCUCAUCCAUGUGCUGACACUGCUUUUUCUUUCUGACAUGACCCUGGACUUGCGAUGGUUUCCUGCAGUUUGGAAUGGAGUCCUCACCUCCCUUUCCGAAUACCACGGAUAAAUUCCGGCCAUUCCUUGCUCGUUGAGUGCCUGAUCAAAGGCUAAAGCUGACCAAUUACAAGGCUGCUGGGCAUUGCCUUACCCAUACAGGCUAUGAGGGAGGCCACAGCCCUGUCCUCUUCGUAAAGACAAGGAAACUGGGGCACAGAAAGGCGAAGCACACAUCACCAUCAGCAGGAUAAGAAUGUGAGCCCAGGAGGCCCGGCCUGCCCCACCCUGCCCUCCUGCAGCUCCAUGGCCCCCAUCCCCAUCCUGGUAACACCAAGGACCUGCCUGCAUUCCACACCUAUUUCCCAUUUGAGGAGGAUAUAAACAGCCCAUUUCCGUCCCCAUUGUGCACAGCAGCUGUGGUGGCCGAUUAGAAUCAGACCAGUGUCACAGGAGCCCCCUUCCUACCAUCAUCCAUGGCACCUUCUCCCAACCCUUUGGACUCCUCUUGUGAUCACAUGGAGGGAGGUGGUGGAGGUGCCUGCCCGAACCAGGCGGGAAGACCUGCACUCCCUCUUCCCAGGCCUCCCAGGCCCCACAGGCCUUACGGUCCAUCAGCGCCAGCCCGCUAACUGCUCGGCACCCAGGGCCUGUUUAUUCCUGCAUCCACUGGGGACGGGCGUGACACUGCCACCACCUGCAGCCCGGGGAUUCCAGGGAAUCUGUCUUCUGACUCCAAGCACACAGAGGCAGGUGCCCAGGCCCCGACCCACUGGCCCAGGGCCCAGACCGCGCAAAGGGCCGGAGCCUCGAGGAGAGCACCCGCAGGACCGCCGGCUAGCGAGCACCACCUGGGCAAGACCUGGGCUGCCUUUGGCUGCUGGCUCCAGACUCCACACCCGGCGACUGGAUGGCAGACAGGGACUCUGGAGACCCACCAGCCUUGGAAAGGUCACGGGUAAAGGGCAGUGGGCAGGCACAGUGUCUUUAUCCAAAUGCGUCCUCACCCUCCAGGCUGGGUAGGAGUUGGGAGAGCAGCUUCAGGAGCAUCCAGCAAGAGGGUGUAUGGCCAGGCUUUACAGGCAGAGGGGGGACAGAGGCCAGGCUGUGGCUGCUCCCUCCAGGACAAUGCCUUUCUCCUGCCCACCUCCCCCGUGGCGCUUGGGUUCAAGGGCCUUGCAGAGCGCCUCCCUCACCUGACCUAAGACAGCAAGGAGGCCGAGCCUCCCUCACCUGACCGAAGACAGCAAGGAGGCUGAGCCUCCCUCACCUAAGACAGCAAGGAGGCCGAGCCUCCCUCACCUGACCGAAGACAGCAAGGAGGCCGAGCCUCCCUCACCUGACCGAAGAGAGCAAGGAGGCCAAGCCUCCCUCACCUAAGACAGCAAGGAGGCCAAGCCUCCCUCACCUGACCUAAGACAGCAAGGAGGCCGAGCCUCCCUCACCUGACCUAAGACAGCAAGGAGGCCGAGCCUCCCUCACCUGACCGAAGAGAGCAAGGAGGCCAAGCCUCCCUCACCUAAGACAGCAAGGAGGCCAAGCCUCCCUCACCUGACCUAAGACAGCAAGGAGGCCGAGCCUCCCUCACCUGACCUAAGACAGCAAGGAGGCCGAGCAAGGCCGGUGGCUGCGGGGUCCCUCCCCGGGGCUGAGCCCAGGCUCCGGAAUGAGGGGACCCAACCCCCCUAUCCCUGCGGAUGUAAAGACAGGCCCCCAUGCUCCCCUUCUCGGGUGGGGGGAGCCUCUGAUCGCAGGAGGAACGCUGUCAAUCAGCCACAUGCAAGGGAGGCUCGGCAUCCCCAAGCCAUUCAGUCACUGGACAGCUUUAACCUUACAAACACUCCUAGCCAAAUUAGCUUGCGUUCCUUCAGACAGCAAGUUCCACUUCUGAGGGAGCACACAGGGUGCCCACUGCCUACUGGGUGUGCACCCCAUCCUCCGCAGCCCAUCCCCACCCAGAAGUGCGCCCCUUGCCCAUGCCCCACCCCCGCACCUGGGUACCAAGGACAUGGGGUAGGGCUGGUCCAGCUUCAACAACUCCCUGGCUCUCGGACCCUGGGCACGGCACUAACCCACCCCACGAAGGUCUUGUCUUCCCACACCAAACCCACCCAGCAGGCGGCCCCAGGGGCCCACCUCCUCUCAGCUCCAUCCCAUUCCCUCAGAGCCUUUCCCCAACCCUGCCCCGCAACAGGUGCUGGGGAUCCAGACACCCAGCAGACAGGCAGACACCACUGCUAUUAUCCGGCCAAGGAAACCAAUGAGAAAACCAAUACAAACAGAAACAGUAACACAUUUAUUGAGCAAUUACUGCAUGCCAAGCAGCAAAGAGGCAACUCAGGGGUCCCCUUCAAGCCUGGCCACAUGGUCCGAGGUGACCACUGCAGGCCCAGCCCCAACAGCAGCGUAAGGAGCACGCACUGGACAACAGAACACUACAGUCCCCAGCUGGUGGCUAGAGAACACCCAGCCAGGCCCAGGGCCACCGUGGGGACAUGGCCCAGCCCCACCGCAGGGUUCCCCAGCACAGUCAUGUCCUCUGUGGUGCUUGCCACAGAGCAGUUCUGACUGUCUCACCCACACACUGCUGCCUGGUCACCACCAGCUACCCUCCCCACAUCAGCCCAGCACCCCCUGCCCUUCCACUUUAGGUCCCCCAAUACCUGCUCCAUGCAGGCCAGGCUCGGGACCCUCUGUGACUCCCUGCCCCUGCCCCAUGGUUCUCUUUCUCUGGGAUAGCCCUCACCACAAACGCACUCUCGUGGGCUAAACUGUACCCAGACCCCUGGUGCCUGCGCAUGGGAGGUACUGGAAAUGAGGUAUUUGAAAAUGAAAUAAAGACGGGGUCAUGCUGGAUUAAGGUAGGCCCUAAAACCAGUGACUAGAGUCCUUAUAAAAAGUGGGAAAUUGAGGCCAGGCAUGGUGGCUCAUGCCUGUAAUCCCAGCACUUUGGGAGGCUAAGGGGGGGAGGGGGCAGAUCACUUGGGGUCGGGAGUUCAAGACCAGCCUGGCCAACACAGAGAAACUCCGUCUCUACUAAAAAUACAAAAUUAGCCGGGCGUGGUGGCACGCGCCUAUAAUCCCAGCUACUCAGGAGGCUGAGGCAGGAGAAUCGCUUGAACCUUGAACGUGGGCGGGGGCGCGGAGGUUGUGAGCCCGAGAUCGCGCCACUGCACUCUAGCCUGGGCAACAAGAGCGAAACUCCAUCUCAAAAAAAAAAAAAAAAAAAAAUGAUCAAAGCAGAGACACGCUGGAUGCACCUACAAGCCAGAGAACACCAAGGGCUGCCCGCAGUCAUCAGAAGCCAGGAGAAGAGCAGGUAACUGACCCCUGGACUUGGGACUUCUGGUCUCCAGAACUGUGAGGGAAUAGAUUUCUGUUGUUUGAAGCCACCUGGGUUGUGGGAAUGUGUCAAGGAAGUCACAGGACACGAACGCAUCUGCUUAUCUCAAAACGCUUCCACUGAUGGGACCAGCGUCACAGAUGAUCCAGCACGUGCUCAGCACUAACUGUGCUCAGACACUAUGAGAGGCUGGGGAUCAGCAAAGAAUAAUCAGUCACAUGCCAAACUCAGGAGCUCAAGCAAGUGCUACAAGGGCCACAUGACUGCCGACGGAGCAUGAGACGCGGAACACGUGAGUGAGGCUUUGAAGGUUGAGUAGAAGUUGGCCUGGAAGAUCUCCACCCACACAGAAUGCUGUAAGGACAAGGUGUAGACCUCUUUCUCCUUCACUACCAAGCAGAAUGCUGUAAGGACAAGUUGUAGACCUCCUUCUCCUUCACUACCACGCAGAAUGCUGUAAGGACAAGUUGUAGACCUCUUUCUCCUUCGCUACCACGCAGAAUGCUGUAAGGACAAGUUGUAGACUUCCUUCUCCUUCACUACCACGCAGGCUUCAGAGGGGUCCCUGGCUUCUCUUAAAGCUCUCGGCAUGACACUACCAGCACACACUGUGGACACAGCACACGUCUGAGGCAUAGAACAUACACCUCUCACACCUUUCUCAGCCUUCUCACACCUCCCAGUAAAAGAUCCCUGGGUACAUAUAUUCACCGUCAAAACACCAAGCCCAAUACGCAGACUGCUGGCCCUACCAAGCCAAGUCAGCAGCCUAAACUGAAGGCCUAUUUCCAAUGGUCAGCAGGCUGAGUUUCUGCCCAGGGACCCACGGUCCACAGGUGCAUUUCUUCCUUUCUGAUCUGAUGUUCGGGGCAGCACCUCAAUACACACUUUUACCUGGAGAAUUUGGGGAGCUUCAAUGGAACUGUGUGCGAAGUGCAAAUAAUGGGAUAAACGUUGCAGCCAAAGGUAGCUUCAGGAACAAUGACUGUUAAGCUCCAAAAAACCAGAGUGCCAGGAGAUGCUCUGGGUUCCAACAUUUGCCUCUGAGCCUAGAGCUUGACCUCCGCCUGGCCAAAUGUUCCCAGAUCAAGGGGCACCAACAGAGCAGACCCUGGAGCCACCGUAUGGGAUCGACACCUGGCUGUGCCACUUACCAGCAAGGCAUUUAGCCCCCCUAGGCCUCAGUGUCCACUUACCAGCAAGGCACGGCCUCCCUAGGCCGCAGCCUCUUUAGCUAUUAAACGGGAUGCCAGUAGCUUCUAUGAAGAAUUGGAUGAAUCAAGAUUUAUAAAACCCCUAGAACAGUGUCUGGGAUACGGUAAGCGCCACAUAAGUGUUUACUAAGUAAAUUAAAAUGCCACACUUGUAAAUCUGUAUUUCUGCUAUUCUCAAUCUCUCCUGUUCAGAGUUGGCCAAGGUUCUCAUUUGUUAAGACCAUCAAAUUUCUAAAACUAGCAACAGCAAAGGUAGUCUCAAAAUAGGCGAUAGAUUUAGGACAACUUCCACAGGAGACUGGCACGUCAUCAAGGAAUAACAGCCUCAGUCAAGGUCAAGGUGAACCCCCUUAGGGAGACAAGCGGCUCCUGGGAACCUAG